UUCCCUCCAAUAUUUUUAACACUAAAAUAUGAUAUUCCCUCUAAUUUAAUUCCUUCCAAUUUCUAAUUAUACAAAAAAAAAAUCAUAAAACAUAAUUUUACUUUUCCUUAUCUCUCGCUGGCCGCCGCAAAAUCAAACUACAUGACCUUCCUCUGAAAUACAACUAGUGUUCAUCUGAAAUGUGGAAUUGAAUUAUAAUUAUUCUUUUCCCUCCCUCUCGCUGUGAAAUAAAACUACGACCUUCCUCCUCCGUCUUACCCAAGGCAUCAGCCACCUAGUUCAAAAUCGAAGGAAAUUAGGCGGUGUUCUCUCAAAGUUGUUGUUGCUGGGAUAGCCAAGACAAUUAACAAUGAUAUUCUCGUAUUUAUCAUUUCUUCAUGUUAAAAUUUAUUAUAUUUUGUUCUGUCACAUAAACUGUUUUGCAGACUUUGUUUCAUGCAAAGUGCAAAGCAUAAACUUUAUUACUCAAUAUGAAAAGUAUAGAAUACUGUCUGAAGGAGAGCCUUGAAGUAACUGGUAAAGUUUUGUCUAUGUGACCAGGAGCUUGCAGGUUUAAGCCUUAAAAAUAGCCUCUCGUAAAAAUGCAAGGUAAGGUUGCGUUCAAUUAACCCUUAUGGCCGUGCCCUUCCCUACAACCUAAGCAUAGGGGGAGCUUUACUGCAUCGGGCUUCCCUUUUAUUUUUAAAGUACCAUCUGGAAAUCUCAUUUUGGUAGAUUCCCCUAUUAUUUGAGUUAUGCAACUAGUAGUUUAUAGUGGUCCUCAUUUUGGACUGCUGUUAUGUAAAGAUAGCUUGUUUUCUUAUCAGGUCAUCGACAAGUCAUUUUCUUUUGAUACUACCAUAGAGAAGGCUCAACGUGCCAUCAAUGCAGAGAAUGUUGAAGCUCAAAGUACUGAGAACGGCAUUGGUUUGGUGAACCUGAUGGACUGUUAUAGUGAUCAAUAGAAUUGGGUGCAGGAUUCAUUGCAAUGUAUGCCACUUUAGCAAGCAGAGAUAUUGACUGUUGUUUGAUUCCAGAGUCACCCUUCUUUCUUGAAUAAAGUGGUGGUCUCUUCGAAUUCAUUAAGAAAAGUCUUGGAGAGGAAGGACACAUUGUUAUUAUGAUAGCCGAAGGAUUUAGGUACCAACAUCUUGCAACAGAGAAUAGGAAACAAGCUUCUCCAAGAUGUUUGUUUGUGGGUAUCCUACGAAAUCAGGUGUAUAAUUAACUGAGGACAAGAUUAUAAUAUUUGACACAGGCCCUGUAAUGGAUGGAAGCACAACAAACACAAUAGUGAAGUGUCUGAACUUCAGAAUAAUCAAAAUAUGGGGGAAGCACCAGAUGAUGCAUUUGAGGCAGUGUUUGGAAAAGAGAAGUUUGAUCAAUUUAGAUGAUUUAGUAGAUCAGUGACAACAACUUUUUUGGAAAAAAAUAACGAAAUGAACAAGCUUAAACAAAAACAUGCUAAUGAAUUCACUUUUCUGAAGGAAGAAAUAAGUGAAAUGAGAGAAGAAAUGUGGCAUUUUUUUUAGUCAAUUGGUGAAAAACAAUUCUGGAUUGAAUUUUCAAGAUAUACCAGGGAGUGACAAAUCUAACAUUCCUUCAACUGAUGCGAGUAAUGCACAAAUCUAUAAGAGAAAAAAUUAUUUCAAA